AAAGCCAACAUUCCUACUUAUCUCAUUGUACUAGCGCUUUAUUUUCUACGUGGUUGGAUGGAGCGUGUCAGACAUCGACGGUCGGUUCUCCCGUUUCUAGAACACGGACUGACGUCCUACUGUCAACAGUCUCUUUGUCUUCGUCGCCUAGAACGACAGGACAGAUGGAGGUGUCGCUAGAAUACGACAGUGGUGCUUCCUAUUGUCAAAAUGCAUACCAGCUUGGUCAAAUGUGCUUACGGAGAACUGGACUGAAAACAAUGAAGAUCUCUGAAAUACUGCAACGUUGCCAUCAGUCAUUAGCCAAGGUCACGUGAUUACUAUAAUGACCACUUAGCUCACUGUUUAUCAGGGAGCAGCAACAGAUAAUAUCAAAGUAACUUUACCAGACCCUCUUCCCGCCAAGGGAAGUCAAAGGGGGAGGGGCUGGCUAGACAAGACUAAAUCACUUGUAGUAGUAGUAAUCAUGAGCAUAUUCCAACUUCUUUCUAAUUCUUUCUAAAAAUGUGUUUUAUUUUGAUCAAACUGCAUGUGAUUACUUCUACGUUGUGUUAUGACUUCAUUUUAGGGAAUCAGAAUGUCAUGCAUGCAUUUUUGUAUAUGCACUAAUUUUUGUUUGUGUCUGACACCGAUGUACUCAAGAUUACAACCAAGUGUCGAAAGAUUAGUUGGAAGGAACUCGAUACAAUAACCAGAAUUACGUGCUUUGUGGACGGAUAACUUGGCCACUACCACUAUGGCUUGCUCAGAGGCUUCUUCACAGAUGUCUGACGAGGGCAGCACAUGGGAGAAGCAGAAGAAAGUUUUUACACGGACAAUGAAUGGCCUAGUACAUACAUUGAAGAUAUUGAUGAAUUUGGAUCAUGUGUUGACUCAGAUGAUCACAACAUUCCAAAGGAGAGACGUCGUAAUUUAGAGCAAUACAGCUAACAACUGAGUCUUUGCACACACUCUACUCUCCACCAUCCUCAGGCUUUCGUUGAAUCCUUUCAACAACCAGAAGCUCAUCAUAGAUCAUGGAAUGCGACAAACGAAUGCAGUCAACAUCUAGAAAAGUGACUAGACGAGCCACCCGAGUGCUACUACAAACAGUUAUUGAGCAUUUUGAAGAGUGCGAGGAAGCACAACCAGCAGAAACCGAAACAAUGCAGACAUGUGAUGAAAGUGGUCUCUUCGAUUAUGAACAGCUGCCAUAUUUUCAGUGACUGUGUUCAACAAGAAUGGAUUGACCAUCAAAUUUUUUUCUCAAAAAUUUCCAGCAAUCCCAACAACAUAGUCGAGAUCUUGAUGUUUGCUCUUAACUCCCAACUUGUAGCAAUCAUGGACUUUCUAUUUCAAGUUGCAGUACCAAAGGCAUUCCAGUUAAACAACCAGUCACUCUGUGAAUGUAAUUCCAUCUUCUGAUUCUGGGAGUGUGAUGCAAAUCAUUUACGUUGAGCAUCUUCAACGGAUGAUUACAACAUUCCAAGGGAGCGACAUCCUCAUUUGGAGUAAUACAUCGAACAACAUUUUCUUCUUACACUCUUUUCUAUCCACCAUCCUCACACUUUUGUUGAAUUGUUUCAAUGACCACAAGCUCAUCAUAGAUCAUGGAAUGCUACAAACAAAAUCAGUGAACGUCUAGAAAAGUGACAAGACGAGCCAACCAAGUGCUACUACAAACAGUUAUUGAGCAUGUCGAAGAGUGGGAGGAAGCACAGCAAGAGGAAACUGAAACAAUGUAGACAAGCAAUGAAAGUGGUCUCUUCGAUAAUGAACAGCUGUCAUACCUCCAAUGACUGUGUUGAACAAGAUGGAUUGACCAUCGAAUAUUUUGUUCUUAAAAAUUUCCAACAAUCUCAACAACAUAGUCGAGAUCUCGAUGUUUGCUCAUAACUCCUAAUCUCUAGCAAAGACGGAAUUUCUAUUUCCAGUAGCAGUACCAAUGGCAUUUCAGUUAAACAUCCAGUCACCAUCCGGGAAAGUAAUUCUGUCUUCUAGUUCUGGCAGCAUGACACAAAUUAUCACAUUGCGCCUCCUAAACAGCAACGGUUGAGGAUGAGACUGCGGAUUUCAUACAGUGUGGAUGGAUCCCCUGUGACCGAACAAGAUGAGAUUGGCGACUUUCCACCAGCAGUUUCUUAGUAAUGUGAGUUAGGGUGAUUGUUAGUUUGUACUGCUAGUCAUCUUGCUAGUUGUGUGACUGUUGUCGUGUUUUGCGUAAAUUUAUUGUAGAUUUUUGCGUAGAUGGUACUUGUAGCUUGGCAGCUGUUGUCUAUGAAGUGCUUUCAAAUUCUGUCUUGCUACGGUGUCACUUUGGAAAUAGACGCAUCACAGUUUAGUCUAGCGCA